GAUUUUGCGAAAAAUGCAUCGGUCAACGGACCAGAUAUGACCUACAUAAUUCUACUCUUGUGUUACAUUUUUAUAUCACCUGCUUCUUUAUAUCAAUGCGUCUACCACAAGAAUGCAAAGAACAGUUGUGAGCGCUUCGGCAAUGUGCCACAAGCCUACCAGUCGCGACAAAAAAAUUAAUCCCAUGCUAAGGACAUUAAGAAGAUCAUCCUUUGUCAUGCGUCCCGGAUCAUCCUGCACACUGCUAUGGGCUACCAGCUCGUGCCACAUAAGCUUUCAGAAUUAUCAACGAUAUUAAAGCCGUGUGCUUCUUCACAUUGGGCGUCACAUUAGGAACUGUUUGUUCUCCUUGACCUACGCCGACAGGGUCAGGUAUCGGUCCCGUCCCCAGCCCGCAAUUCGCAACGUCAAAGUAUAUGUUGUAACCCUGCUUGUCAAGCAAUCUGCACCAAACGGACAUUAUGCAAGACUUCAGCGAAAACAAACUACACAAAUAAAUCGCAUACAGAGCUUUAACGUAACAGAUAAUAUUGGAAUAUUACCUUACAAUCGCACACAAUUAAAUAAUAACACUUAG